rnacentral:misc_RNA from 1 species
UUUCCGUGGGUGAACCUGCGGAAGGAUCAUUAUUGAAAAAGACAAGACGCCCCGUUUUUUCGUAAAAUGGGUUCAAUACCCACAACCGUGUAUACCUUACCUUUUGUUGCUUUGGCAGGCCGCCUCCGGGCGUUGGCUUCGGCUGACAGCGCCUGCCAGAGGACCCAAACUCUGUGUUUAGUGAUGUCUGAGUAAUAUAUAAUAUUUUAAAACUUUCAACAACGGAUCUCUUGGUUCUG